UUAUGGCUCAGGAUGAGCGCUGGCGGCGUGCCUAAUACAUGCAAGUCGAGCGAGAAUCAGGGGAAUGGAGAUUCGUCAAAAUGAACCUGAGGAAAGCGGCGGACGGGUGAGUAACGCGUAGGCAACCUGCCCUUAGCAGAGGGAUAGCCAUUGGAAACGAUGAUUAAAACCUCAUAACGCUUGAGAGACACAUGUCUUUCGAGCCAAAGAUUUAUCGGCUAAGGAUGGGCCUGCGUCUGAUUAACUGGUUGGUGAGGUAACGGCUCACCAAGGUGACGAUCAGUAGCCGACCUGAGAGGGUGAUCGGCCACAUUGGAACUGAGACACGGUCCAAACUUCUACGGAAGACAGCAGUAAGGAAUCUUGCACAAUGGGGGAAACCCUGAAUGCAGCAACGCCGCGUGAACGAAGAAGGCCUUCGGGUUGUAAAGCUCUGAUCUUGGGGAAGAAGGAAGUGACGGUACCCAAGGAGAAAGCCCCGGCUAACUACGUGCCAGCAGCUGC
rnacentral:rRNA from 1 species